rnacentral:rRNA from 1 species
UUGAACGCUGGCGGCAGGCCUAACACAUGCAAGUCGAGCGGGGUUUUCGGACCUAGCGGCGGACGGGUGAGUAAUGCGUAGGAAGCUACCCGAUAGAGGGGGAUACCAGUUGGAAACGACUGUUAAUACCGCAUAAUGUCUACGGACCAAAGUGUGGGACCUUCGGGCCACAUGCUAUCGGAUGCGCCUACGUGGGAUUAGCUAGUUGGUGAGGUAAUGGCUCACCAAGGCGACGAUCUCUAGCUGGUUUGAGAGGAUGAUCAGCCACACUGGAACUGAGACACGGUCCAGACUCCUACGGGAGGCAGCAGUGGGGAAUAUUGGACAAUGGGCGCAAGCCUGAUCCAGCCAUGCCGCGUGUGUGAAGAAGGCCUUCGGGUUGCAAAGCACUUUCAGCGAGGAGGAAGGGAGUUGUGUUAAUAGCACAGCUUCUUGACGUUACUCGCAGAAGAAGCACCGGCUAACUCUGU